GAAACAGACAACAUGUUAGUCAGAGAGAGAGAGACGACUCCCCUGGGAAACAGACAACAUGUUAGUCAGGUAGAGAGACGACUCCCCUGGGAAACAGACAACAUGUUAGUCAGGUAGAGAGAGACGACUCCCCUGGGAAACAGACAACAUGUUAGUCAGGUAGAGAGAGACGACUCCCCUGGGAAACAGACAACAUGUUAGUCAGGUAGAGAGACGACUCCCCUGGGAAACAGACAACAUGUUAGUCAGGUAGAGAGAGACGACUCCCCUGGGAAACAGACAACAUGUUAGUCAGGUAGAGAGACGACUCCCCUGGGAAACAGACAACAUGUUAGUCAGGUAGAGAGAGACGACUCCCCUGGGAAACAGACAACAUGUUAGUCAGGUAGAGAGACGACUCCCCUGGGAAACAGACAACAUGUUAGUCAGGUAGAGAGAGACGACUCCCCUGGGAAACAGACAACAUGUUAGUCAGGUAGAGAGACGACUCCCCUGGGAAACAGACAACAUGUUAGUCAGAGAGAGAGAGACGACUCCCCUGGGAAACAGACAACAUGUUAGUCAGGUAGAGAGAGAGACGACUCCCCUGGGAAACAGACAACAUGUUAGUCAGAGAGAGAGACGACUCCCCUGGGAAACAGACAACAUGUUAGUCAGGUAGAGAGACGACUCCCCUGGGAAACAGACAACAUGUUAGUCAGGUAGAGAGAGAGACGACUCCCCUGGGAAACAGACAACAUGUUAGUCAGAGAGAGAGACGACUCCCCUGGGAAACAGACAACAUGUUAGUCAGGUAGAGAGACGACUCCCCUGGGAAACAGACAACAUGUUAGUCAGAGAGAGAGACGACUCCCCUGGGAAACAGACAACAUGUUAGUCAGAGAGAGAGACGACUCCCCUGGGAAACAGACAACAUGUUAGUCAGGUAGAGAGACGACUCCCCUGGGAAACAGACAACAUGUUAGUCAGGUAGAGAGACGACUCCCCUGGGAAACAGACAACAUGUUAGUCAGGUAGAGAGAGACGACUCCCCUGGGAAACAGACAACAUGUUAGUCAGGUAGAGAGACGACUCCCCUGGGAAACAGACAACAUGUUAGUCAGGUAGAGAGACGACUCCCCUGGGAAACAGACAACAUGUUAGUCAGGUAGAGAGAGACGACUCCCCUGGGAAACAGACAACAUGUUAGUCAGGUAGAGAGAGACGACUCCCCUGGGAAACAGACAACAUGUUAGUCAGGUAGAGAGACGACUCCCCUGGGAAACAGACAACAUGUUAGUCAGGUAGAGAGACGACUCCCCUGGGAAACAGACAACAUGUUAGUCAGGUAGAGAGACGACUCCCCUGGGAAACAGACAACAUGUUAGUCAGGUAGAGAGACGACUCCCCUGGGAAACAGACAACAUGUUAGUCAGGUAGAGAGAGACGACUCCCCUGGGAAACAGACAACAUGUUAGUCAGGUAGAGAGAGACGACUCCCCUGGGAAACAGACAACAUGUUAGUCAGGUAGAGAGAGACGACUCCCCUGGGAAACAGACAACAUGUUAGUC